AGUGAACGCUGGCGGUAGGCCUAACACAUGCAAGUCGAACGGCAGCACAGUAAGAGCUUGCUCUUACGGGUGGCGAGUGGCGGACGGGUGCGGAAUACAUCGGAAUCUACUUUUUCGUGGGGGAUAACGUAGGGAAACUUACGCUAAUACCGCAUACGACCUACGGGUGAAAGCAGGGGAUCUUCGGACCUUGCGCGAUUGAAUGAGCCGAUGUCGGAUUAGCUAGUUGGCGGGGUAAAGGCCCACCAAGGCGACGAUCCGUAGCUGGUCUGAGAGGAUGAUCAGCAAAACUGGAACUGAGACACGGCCCAGACUCCUACGGGAGGCAGCAGUGGGAAAUAUUGGCCAAUGGGCGCAAGCCUGAUCCGGCCAUACCGCGUGGGUGAAGAAGGCCUUCGGGUUGUAAAGCCCUUUUGUUGGGAAAGAAAAGCAGCAGGUUAAUACCCCGCUGUUCGGACGGUACCCAAAGAAUAGGCACCGGCUAAUUUCGU
rnacentral:rRNA from 1 species